rnacentral:misc_RNA from 1 species
CCAUAAUUGAAAAAUUGCCAUCCUCUCCAUCUAUUGUAUCAAAUGGAAACGGAAAUGGAAAACACACAGAACAUGCAGGUUAUGGUGUCACAAAUGCAAGGUACGAACUCCUUCGUGAGGUGUGGUCUGCAGAAAUGUGAAGAUUGGCUCUGUUGUACAUGUUUUUUCAAAUAAGUAAAUAUGAAGUAAAAAAAAUGAGAACACUAGGAAAAUAUGCAGUGAAAAAAAAUGUGGGAGUGAUUUCAGUUUCAGGAAUGUCCAAAUGCAGUUCAAUUCAUCAG